CCUCCCGAUCCUCUCGCUCCUUGCCUCUUUCCUCCUCGCGCCGCCACCCACACAGGGAAGCGCUCACGCUCGCGCUUGACCCCUUUUCAUGCUCGCCCGACCGUGUCGCCCCGCAGCUCCUCCCACCGUCCUCGCACCGCCAUAUGGAUCUCCGCGCUCGGCCGUGGGCGGCGCUCACCGGCGCGCGUGUGCGCUCGCCUGAGCCGCCCGUCCACCGCCUCGUCACCGGCGGCCCCCGCCUAGUCGGCCACCGAAGCAAGCCGGCCAACCCCACCGGCUCCUUCCGCGCGACACCCGCACCCUUCUCCACCAGCAGGCCCGCACCCACGUUGAGCAGGGGAGCUCGCGCUAGAGCCUUCCUUCCCAAGGCCAUGGCGUCCGUCGUGGAUGCACCAUCUCUGUCGCGCCCUCCUUCUACUCACCAUCGCUGUGAGCCCUCACGUCUUCCCCUCUCUCCCCUAGCUCGAAUGCAUGCCGUCUCGUUAAACCCCCGCGCUGUCGUCCGCCAUGGUCGGAGCACUGCGUCCGCACGCGCUCACCUGCUCCUGAUCGCGGCCACACCAGCACCCCACACCCCCUGCGCUUACAUGCAGACCCGCGCGUGUCUGCCCCGCGCCCCGCCGGCGCUGUCAGCGACCUCGCUCCCCUGCUGCCCGCUACUGCGUUGCUGCCGUUAUUGCUUCUGAUGCCGAUGCUUGCCAUGUUGCUGCUGCUUUAGCUGCUGCGCUACUACUUGUUGCGCCGCUAGCUGCUGCUAUACUCUGCUGCCCAGCCGCCGCUGUUGCUCUAGCUGCUCCUGGCCGCUACGUACUGCUGCUCCAGCCACUACUCAACCCGGCAAUCCGACCCAUGGGUGGCCGCGCCCAUGGGCACCCGACCCUAAUGGGUAUGGGUCGCCAGCUUCAUCCAUGGGUAAGCUCGAUGGAUAACCCGAUUAGUCAUGGAUAGGGUAUGGGCAUAAGGUAAUGCCUGUGGGUCGCCCAAUAGAUCGCCCAAUUAACUGACAUGUGGGCCCUAAAUGUUAGUCAAAUCAAUGAUCCAGUCCACUCAGCCACACCCCGACCCGGCCCAAUUCACAUACCCAUAUGCCAUAGCGCUGGUGUGAUCAGCCCACAAAUAUUAAUUAAACGCUUGAUAUGAAGCCCAUGUACCUCAGCACUCAGCAGCUCAUGUCCUGCUAGCCUGUUGGGCUUCUAAAGCCAUAUAAGCCCAUAUAACUUUUGUCAUGCAUGGCUGCCUUGUGUGCACGGCUAGAGGCAGCUUAUUUAGUACCACCUCGCCGAUAAGUAACCCAUUGGGUCGGGUUACCCGAUGGGUAUAGGCGUGGGUCUGCUCCUAUGCCCAUGGGUAGGGUCAUGGGCGAAGAGGUAGACCCAUUUACUUAUAGGGUAUGGGUCUGGUAGAGGUCGACCUAACCAAACCCGACCCGACUGCUAGGUUGAGCCACUACUAAUGGCCGUGGCCAUGGCCUAACACAUGGUGUAUGCGUCUAUGGGCAAAGCCACCAACAACCGGCCCGUGCAAUUAGCUUAGGUGCUAAUUGAUAGUUAGGUUAACUACUAGCCAAUGAUAGUGGCCCCCACUGCUAGUUAAUCUAAUUUAAGUAAAGUCUAGUUUACCCAUAGACAAUGACAUAUGGACUAGGUCAACCCACCCCAUUGGCCCCACUGUCAUACUCAUAGGCUAGAGUAACACUAGGUGACAAAAGUAUUUACAGUUUUAUUUUUUGAAUUAAUAUUAAUUUCAGAAAUCUAGAAAAUCAUUUAAACUUUGAAAAUUAAUAUAAAAUAAAUUGCAAAUUAGAUGCAAAUAAUUUAUAUAUGAAAAUUGCUCAGAAAGACCAGACGAAUCCGAAUACGCAGUCCGUUCAUCCGUCACACGUCCCUAGCAUAGCGAACAUGCAACCGUCCCCUCCAUUUCAUCCAUCGAAAAAUGCCAAACACCGGGAAUACUUUCCCGGAUGUUUCCCCCCUUCGCUGGUAUCACCUACUACUGCGUUAGGUCACCUCUAGCACCGCGUAUUGUCAUGUUAUGCUUUGUGAUGCUUUGAUUCUCUGUUAUUAUUGUGUUCCUGCUCCAUUACUUCUUUCCGAUAGACCCAUGAGACCGCUGCCGGUACCCCUGUGAUUGACUGCAUCGACGAUGAACCCUUCUUGCCAGAGCAACCAGGCAAGCCCCCCUUUGAUCAACCCGAUAUCGCCUAUUCUUUCCCUUUACUGCUUGCAUUAGAGUAGUGUAGCAUGUUACUACUUGCAUUAGAGUAGUGUAGCAUGUUACUGCUUUCGGUUAAUCCUAUUCUGCUACAUAGCCUGUCAUUGUUGCUACAGUUGUUAUCCUUACCUGCAAUCCUAAAUGCUUAGUAUAUGAUGCUAGUAUUCCAUCAGUGGCACUACAUUCUUGUUCAUCUGUCAUGCUAUAUUAUCGGGCCGUGAUCACUCGGGAGGUGAUCACGCGUAUAUACUUGCUCUCAAUGUAAUGGUUUAGUCCUAGAACUUGCAUUUUGACCCUACCUAGUCCUUGAACUUGCAUCAAAUGUGCAAAUUUGGUCCUGAUGAAUCACAGAGCGCCAUGUGGACGCGUGGGUGCCGAUCCGGUCAGCACGUGGCAUUUUUCAAAGAGGCCCCCGCCUUUGUUGUGAAUCUACCCGCAGGACAGGAAAGCACCUGAAUUAAUUUUUUACAAGAGCACGGUUUGCCCCCCCCCCCCCCCCCCCCAGACAGCCACACACUCAGUCCAUCUUUGUUUUUGCUCUGCUCUCUCUCGUCUCUGCUCAAGCCCGUAGCUCGUUGCUGUCGUCCAGCAAGCCGACCCAGCCAUGGUUUCAUGGAGUGAUUCCGGAUCCAGCUCUUGCUCGUCAGGUGGCGACUCGGUCACUAGUCCGGGUCCUCGCACCAUUGGGAGCUUCGAUUGGAUGGGCCUUGCUGCAGAUCUACCUGAUAGGUGUGAGCACCAAGCAGUGUGUGAGAAGCUUGUUGCAUUUUAGUCUGUUGACAGUGGAAGAAGAUUUCUGGGUUGUGCACAGAAGGAUGGGCCUAGAUGCCCUUAUGUGCGUUGGGUUGACCCAGAGUGGCCUCCACAAUUGAGGACCCGUCUAGCUAGGGUCUGGGACAUGUAUGAAGACGAGUACAGAUCCAGGAUCAGGGAAGCUGUAGCUGUGAUUGAAGAAAAUCUUAGGGUUCUAAAUGAGAAGGAAAAGCUGGAAAAAGACCUGAGGUUUUUUAAACUAGAUUUUGCUAAGAUGGUGGCUGACAAAGAACAGACAAUUACUGAAUUAGGCAACACAAGGCUAGCUAUGUCUGACCUAAAGAUAGAACUUUAGAAGAAGAGAAUUGCUGACAAAUCAGUGACCAACAUUCAUCAGGUGGUCAGGGCUAAGGCAGAGAAAGAGAGGGGUGAGAUGAAGCAAGAGAGGGACAAAAUGAUGGAAGAGAGGGACAAAUUGAAGGAAGAAAGGGAUUCGUUGAAGAAAGAGAUAAAUAAGCUAGAGUAUAUGAUUUGGUGACCUGUUCAAGCAUAUAUAAGGAAGACACCAAGUGAAAGAUAAGGAAGAUUAGGGAGAUGCUAGAUGAAUUUGAGUGAUCCAUUGGUGCUCUAAUGGAAUUUAGUUAAUGAUGAUCAGUGGUCUUGUUUAAUCGAGUGAAUUGCUGCCUAAAUUUUAGUUAUCUUUGAUGCACUGUACUAUUUGAUGCAAUGACCUAAUAUGCACUAUAUUAUCUGAA